GAUGAAGAACGUAGCGAAAUGCGAUAAGUAAUGCGAAUUGCAGAAUUUCCGUGAGUCAUCGAAUCUUUGAACGCACAUUGCGCCCACUGGUAUUCCGGUGGGCAUGCCUGUUCGAGCGUCAUUACAACCCUCAAGCUCUGCUUGGUAUUGGGCCCCGCCAGUUCUGGCGGGCCCUAAAGUCAGUGGCGGUGCCUUCCGGCUCCGAGCGUAGUAAUUCUUCUCGCUCUGGAGACCCGGUUGUGUGCUUGCCAACAACCCCCAAUUUUUUAAGGUUGACCUCGGAUCAGGUAGGGAUACCCGCUGAACUUAAGCAUAUCAAUAAGCGGAGGA
rnacentral:misc_RNA from 1 species